UCCCCUCCUGUAACCCUCGACACCCCAGUGUUGGCCUCUGAUCGAUCCUGUCCCGGAGCUUUCUUCCAGCCUGUCAAAGUGAUGACAGAGUGCCCUGGCUAGUUAAACAGAAUCGGGUUAGGUUCUCCUCUAUCCUCUCCCCUUCUCCUCCUCUCCUAUGUCCUCACUCUGCCCUCCUCUUCUCUUUCCCUCCCCUUCUCCUCCCCUCUCCUCUCCCUUAUCUCUCCUCGUGACACCUGACACCAGGGCCAGCUGUGUGUCGGCAGAAGGAGAUGUCAGGAAGAUGAUAAUCUUGCAAAGUGUCACUGACAGAAGCCUGUUUGCUGCAACGUUGUUUAGUUGGGAGAGAGCUUCUUGUACUUUUCGUAUGCAAGUGGGUUUACUGAUUCAGUGUGAGUGUGUGUGUGUGUGUGUAUAAAUGAUGAUUAUAUACAUGUGUGAAGACAAUUGCUCGUUCGUUUUUAUUACGGAACGCGCUCGAAGUUUGUGAAUUCUCGCUAGGCUGAAAUGUGCCAAAGCAGCCAAUAUAAAGAUGUCUGUAGUCUUCCUCUGGUAAGCCAAAAUCAUACACAUCCCUUCUGGAAAAGCAUAUUCAGUCAUUUGUUUUCAUUCACUGCAUUAUGUCCUACUUAAUCUAUAAGCUUUUGUGUGUUGUUGAAAUACACUUCAUGGUGGGUUUCUAGCCAGUGUUUGAGUUGUGUGCUUGGUCAUCGAUCUCUUAUGUUUGAUGUUGGUCGUUCUCAUUCAGGAGUAUCGAUCCAAUGGCAUAAUCUGAUGUUUCUCUGAUUCAUAUUCAUGUAUUUUGUGACAAGAUCAAAAGGAUGUGUGUGUGUUUAUGUAUCUGAUAUACUCUGUAUAUCAGAGUAGCUGUAUCCAGUGCACCUCAAAUCCAAAUAUUCACUUCAAUUUCCCUCAAAAUGAGUUGGUAAUUUGCUCAUAUACCAGUAUGUCUAUAAAGUAAUGUAUGUACUGUCUAUGUAUACAUAGACAGUAUAUAUAAGCUAUAUAUAUGGAUACAUGGAUGCCAUUUGUCAAUGACACAGCACUAUAUGCAUAGGCGGGAAUCCCAGGGGGGGACAGGGGGGACACGACCCCCCCAUCCUGAGAAGAAUAGGAUUUGUCCCCCCCAAUAAAUCACUGUAAACAUAAGGACAUUUUAAUAAUAUACAUUUAACAUAAUACAAUGUUACAGCAGUAAUUUUGGUGUCCCCCUCAGGAAUUGCUCUCUAGAAAAUGUCAUAUAAUUGUCCCCCCCCAAAAAAAUUGAUAGCAGAUUUUCGCCACUGACUAUACGAAGUGUAGAAGUAACUCUUCUGUCAGCACCAGGAAUGAAAGGUCACGUGUUUCCUAUCCAGCUCAAACCAGAGGGCCCAGAGCUCAAACAGCAGAGACGCUGACACAAGCUGUCGAAACCCAGUUGCUCCUGAAUGGAACAUGCCGUUAGCCAUCUUACUGCCAGCGAUUAAACGACCUAUAGCAAAUGUCAGAAACAUAUAGUGUUGUAUUCAUUCACGAGAGAUUUUUAAAAAAAUCCAAAGUGACAUCCAGUGUGGGGCUGAAUCCUGAAACCCCCUUGAUCUACAGUGAAACGUUACACCGCUGUGCGGCAGUCUUCCUGCUGCCUGUUUUCUUUUACAUCUCUGUAUGUGAGGCUGUGCUUGGACAUUGAGAUUUUACCAAAUAGACAGGAGGGGAAAGAACACAAGCUUGUUUCCCUUUGUAACCACGGUUACAUUAAUCAGUGACUUACCACACAGCGGAGAUAGUGGUGUUGGUGUCUUGUCUGAAUUAUAUAUCUUCUCUUGAUGUCCUGUAUGUUUUACUUCAACGUGUUCUAAAACUAAAAGAGCUUCCAGCUUCAAGGGGUUAGACCGUGAGAGAGCGUGCUAGCUCCGUUUUAACGGUUGUAUCCCUAAACUGUGCCCAUCAAGUAGGCUAUGCAAAAUAAACAGAACCUUUUUUUUUUUUUUUUACUUUUUUUUCCAACUAUAGUCUAUAGGCUGUGUAAACACUAGCUCCCAAAAUUCCCACAAGUCAUACAAACCCACGUCCCUAGACAUCGAAUCCCUACAUUUUUCUCUUGCCUCGGGACCACAUACGCUGUAGUCAUCUUUCUGGUGCAUUGUGUUCAUUUUCCAUUCAGUAGAGAGCGUCGGUUUGGUUUGAACACUGGUGGGAACAAACGUUUUUGAUCACCCUAUUUGCUACUGCUACCCCUGCCACUAGGCUAAUUAUUGGUGACAUAUGCCUAUCAUUGAGUGUAUUUUCGACUGCUUCUUAACCGAAUUGCGUUUUGUGGUGUUUUGCUGGAUUCCAUUCAUUGACAUGACAUAUGUUUUUUUUCUCUCCCACAAUUCGUUUCCCAUUUUUCCUAAUGUCUGUCUGUGAGGUUGUGUAUGUAGGUCAGUUGGAGAUGAUGGGAUGGCAUGGGAAUCAUCCCAAGAGACCGACAGGAGAUGUGAUAAAGUAGGAUGCGGUUAACCCAAUUUUAGAAGCAGGCCUAGAAGGUAUAUUUAAAAAUGUAUCAUUUGCAGUGUUCUAAAUGGGCAAUUUUACACCGAGGCAAGCUAUUAAUCGCUUUUGUUUUAGGAGAGUCUGACUGACUGAAUCUCUCCCUUUUAUUACAAUGGAUUACAUCCCGUCUCCAGUCACUUCAUCGUCACCAUACUGUACUAAGUGCCAAAUUUCUCUAUCUUGUUUGUAAGCACUGACUAUGAUUACUUUGUGAAUAUAUUAAAGAGCGUUUAU